UAGUAGGGAUGAUUAUUGGGCUUAAAGCGUCCGUAGCCGGCUUAGCAAGUCUCCUGUUAAAUUCAGCGACCUAAUCGUUGAGCCGCGGGAGAUACUACUAGGCUAGGAGGCGGGAGAGGCCGACGGUAUCCCCGGGGUAGGGGUGAAAUCCUAUAAUCCCGGGAGGGCCACCAGUGGCGAAG
rnacentral:rRNA from 1 species